rnacentral:rRNA from 1 species
UACGUAGGGUGCGAGCGUUAAUCGGAAUUACUGGGCGUAAAGCGUACGCAGGCGGCUGCGCAAGACAGGUGUGAAAUCCCCGGGCUUAACCUGGGAACUGCAUUUGUGACUGCGCAGCUAGAGUCUGUCAGAGGGGGGUGGAAUUCCACGUGUAGCAGUGAAAUGCGUAGAGAUGUGGAGGAACACCGAUGGCGAAGGCAGCCCCCUGGGACCUGACUGACGCUCAUGUACGAAAGCGUGGGGAGCAAACAGG